GGUUUUUUUUUUUUUUUUAAAUCUAAUUUUGCUAAAGCACCUAUUUGAGACAGGUACACUCGGCUAAUGAAAGGACUAGUGCCACGCAUAUUGGAACCCAUAAAACAUGAUUCCGCUUGCCCUCAAUUCCACUUCCACUAAUUUACAAGUUUGACCCCAAACCUUCACAAGAACCUGAAACCAAGGUAAGCCUUUUCAUUUUGUUUUGGUUUGAAUAUGAUUUGAUUUCCAUUUUUUGGCCUUUUUGGCUAAAAGUAAUCACUACAGAACUUAUGCAAAUUCCUUAUGUACUUCAAUGGAUUGAAUUCAUGUCAACUUCCAGCCUAACAACACCCAGAAAUUUAACAGAAUCAACUCUAACAACCAGUUGAAAUUUAUUGUCUAGCUUAUGCGUACUUGCAUAUAAUAGCUUUUAGAGAAGCUUUAUACAUUUCUACAGGUCUCCAGGCCCUGUACUUGCUAUUUGCUAAGUAAUUGUUGCCGUUUGAUGUGAUUUGGUCAGUGAGAAGUGAACUAUUGCUGUGCCAGGUUUAAUUAAAGUAUAGCAAUGCUGCCAAUGCAUCAAUAUGAUAUAAUUAUAUUCCUUAUAUGCGUAUAUAGAAUAGAUGACCAUAAAUGGCUGGCUGAGAUUUUGACGCUAGAAUAUAAUUCAAAACUAUGGAGUAAUGAGAAUCUAGGAUGGCCUGCAAGAAAAUAUAAAAAUAUUUACUUAAAAGAAGUGUUAAUUAGAUUUUCUAUUUUCAUUUGAUUGUUUAGUUUUCUACUUUUUUUAAUAUGAGAUUUAAUUCCUAAUAGAAAAUUUAAUUCUUUAAUGGUGACAUUUGGAUGAAUUUAAUUUGACUUUAAUGUACUGAAUUUAUAGGCAAAUAUGUUGUCAAAUUAAUUUUUCCUUUAGUAACAUACUUCCAUUUUUCUAAUUAAAUUUUUUUUCUCAGAAUUUUCAAAGUUAUGUCAACCAACAAUUGGAGAGUAGCAUCUAUAUUGUCUAAUUAAUGUUGAUGAAAUGUAUGUCUUGGACAAAAUCAUAGAGCUAGGUUAAUUUGCAAUAGUUAAUUAACAUUUUGUAGUUUGUAUAUUUUUAUUAAUGUUGAUGAAAUAUAUAUUUUGGACAAAAUCAUAGAACUGUAUUAUGGAGAUGCAAAGGAACUCUACUUCAGGGACUGUAUAUUUAUUUACUAUUUAAUUUUUCUUAUUAUAAACUAUAACUUUUUAAUGAUUAUGUUAGUUUAUUUUAAUUUUUAUCCUUUUUUAAUGAUAUUUUUUUAUACUUAAUUUUUAAAUGUAUAUGUGGGUGGAUUUUUU
rnacentral:misc_RNA from 1 species